rnacentral:rRNA from 1 species
GACGUAGGGCGCGAGCGUUGUCCGGAUUUAUUGGGCGUAAAGAGCUCGUAGGCGGUUUGUCGCGUCUGCCGUGAAAGUCCGGGGCUCAACUCCGGAUCUGCGGUGGGUACGGGCAGACUAGAGUGAUGUAGGGGAGACUGGAAUUCCUGGUGUAGCGGUGAAAUGCGCAGAUAUCAGGAAGAACACCUAUGGCGAAGGCAGCUCUCUGGGACGGUACUGACGCUGAGACGCGAAAGCGUGGGGAGCGAACAGG